rnacentral:lncRNA from 1 species
GCGAUUAUGAAUGUUAUUUUACACUCGAUGAUUUCCGCGUAUUUAUAGAUUAUAGAUCGGUUACAAGUCCAACACGAAAGUUACGUAAUGGAAAGCUCUCUCGCAACAAUACACCGGAAUGACUUCACGGUCAUCCGCUGUAAAAAGGACAAAAAAAUACAGAUCCGAGAGUAAUCGCAGUUACUGACAGCUAGUUCAAAGCCAAUAAAAACUAAUACAAAAAUCAUGUAUCUAAGACAAAAAUGUCAAUCAGUGCAAAUCCAACAUCCAAUGGAUUUAGUGUAAAGACGUUAUUAACAAUAAGAGAAAAACACGACCUUAUGCAAUGCCAAAGCAUAGGUAACAACAGAUUGUAGUACCUUGAUGUGUAAAACAAUAAUAUUUAAUAUGGUUUUAAGUUACUGAUAACAAAAUUACUAUUUAUACC